AGAGUUUGAUCCUGGCUCAGGAUGAACGCUGGCGGCGUGCUUAACACAUGCAAGUCGAACGCACCUUCGGGUGAGUGGCGGACGGGUGAGUAACGCGUGAGAAUCUGCCCUCAGGAGGGGGAUAACGGCUGGAAACGGCCGCUAAUACCCCAUAUGCCGAGAGGUGAAACGAGUUUUCGCCUGAGGAUGAGCCCGCGUCUGAUUAGCUAGUUGGUGGGGUAAGAGCCUACCAAGGCAUCGAUCAGUAGCUGGUCUGAGAGGAUGAUCAGCCACACUGGGACUGAGACACGGCCCAGACUCCUACGGGAGGCAGCAGUGGGGAAUUUUCCGCAAUGGGCGAAAGCCUGACGGAGCAACGCCGCGUGAGGGAUGAAGGCCUCUGGGCUGUAAACCUCUUUUCUCAAGGAAGAAGAUCUGACGGUACUUGAGGAAUAAGCCACGGCUAAUUCCGUGCCAGCAGCCGCGGUAAUACGGGAGUGGCAAGCGUUAUCCGGAAUUAUUGGGCGUAAAGCGUCCGCAGGCGGUCUUGAAAGUCUGUUGUUAAAGCGUGGAGCUUAACUCCAUUUCAGCAAUGGAAACUAGAAGACUAGAGUGUGGUAGGGGCAGAGGGAAUUCCCGGUGUAGCGGUGAAAUGCGUAGAUAUCGGGAAGAACACCAGUGGCGAAGGCGCUCUGCUGGGCCAUAACUGACGCUCAUGGACGAAAGCCAGGGGAGCGAAAGGGAUUAGAUACCCCUGUAGUCCUGGCCGUAAACGAUGAACACUAGGUGUCGGGGGAAUCGACCCCCUCGGUGUCGUAGCCAACGCGUUAAGUGUUCCGCCUGGGGAGUACGCACGCAAGUGUGAAACUCAAAGGAAUUGACGGGGGCCCGCACAAGCGGUGGAGUAUGUGGUUUAAUUCGAUGCAACGCGAAGAACCUUACCAGGGUUUGACAUCCUGCGAACCCCUUGGAAACGAGGGGGUGCCUUCGGGAGCGCAGAGACAGGUGGUGCAUGGCUGUCGUCAGCUCGUGUCGUGAGAUGUUGGGUUAAGUCCCGCAACGAGCGCAACCCACGUCUUUAGUUGCCAGCAUUCAGUUGGGCACUCUAGAGAGACCGCCGGUGAUAAACCGGAGGAAGGUGUGGAUGACGUCAAGUCAUCAUGCCCCUUACAUCCUGGGCUACACACGUACUACAAUGCUACGGACAAAGGGCAGCAAACUCGCGAGAGCUAGCAAAUCCCAUAAACCGUGGCUCAGUUCAGAUCGUAGGCUGCAACUCGCCUACGUGAAGGAGGAAUCGCUAGUAAUCGCAGGUCAGCAUACUGCGGUGAAUACGUUCCCGGGCCUUGUACACACCGCCCGUCACACCAUGGAAGUUGGCCACGCCCGAAGUCGUUACUCCAACCCUUGUGGAGGAGGACGCCGAAGGUGGGGCUGAUGACUGGGGUGAAGUCGCAACAAGGUA
rnacentral:rRNA from 1 species